rnacentral:rRNA from 1 species
AGACGCCAGGAGAUAAGCCCUGCCCGGUGAAAAGUUUAACGGCCGCAGUACCCUGACUGUGCUAAGGUAGCGUAAUCAGUUGGCUUUUAAAUGGAGUCGAGAAUGAAUGGGUUAAUGGGGGGACGCUGUCUCAGGUUUUGUUAGUUAAAAUUUGCUUAAUAGGUGAAAAUCCCUAUAAUGACAAAAAAGACGAGAAGACCCUUAGAAUCUAAACAAGUUCACGGCAUAUCCGUGCUGCGUUUUUGUUGGGGCGACAACGGGGCAAAGAAAAGGCGGCCACUGGCGGCCGCCACUUUCCGAACCCCCGAUAAACAAAAGUACAAGACGAUUUUAUUAAGCGAGAUAAGAUUACCUGAGGGAUAACAGCAUAAUUUUCUUAAAGUUUGUGACCUCGAUGUUGGACUAGGGACCUGACGACUAGCCGUCGCCAUGGCAGGAUCUGUUCGAUCUUUUCACCCCUACAUGAUCUGUUUCUUAAAAAACGGGA